rnacentral:rRNA from 1 species
GGGUGUGAUCAUACCAGCACUAAUGCACCGGAUCCCAUCAGAACUCCGCAGUAAAGCGUGCUUGGGCGAGAGUAGUA